rnacentral:lncRNA from 1 species
UUCAAAUUAGUGGAAAGCUACUCACGAACUACAACUCUCAAGAGACACCCAUUUCUUCCAGGAUUCAAUCAUCCUCCUGAGCUUCAUGUAAGUCAACUGAGACUUUUCACGGAGCCAUUUACCUCCCACAGAAGGUGCUAAAGGUAAUCAGGACAGAGGACAUGAUGAGUUGACCAGAGGAGCAGCCAGAGCGCUGUGAGAAUUUGCAGGAAGCAGUGAGAAAUACAGACAAGG